GGCUGGUCGGAUCAAUUAUAAUAAUUGAUCACAGUCCAUUACAGAUUUCUUUGUUCUUUCUCCACUCCCACUGCUGCAUUUGACAAGUCUUUU
rnacentral:Y_RNA from 1 species